UACGUAGGGGGCGAGCGUUGUCCGGAUUUAUUGGGCGUAAAGAGCUCGUAGGCGGUUUGGUAAGUCGGGUGUGAAAUCUCCACGCUCAACGUGGAGGGGCCACUCGAUACUGCCAUGACUCGAGUCCGGUAGAGGAGUGUGGAAUUCCUGGUGUAGCGGUGAAAUGCGCAGAUAUCAGGAGGAACACCUAUUGCGAAGGCAGCUCGCUGGGACGUUACUGACGCUGAGACGCGAAAGCGUGGGGAGCAAACAGG
rnacentral:rRNA from 1 species